ACUCCUACGGGAGGCAGCAGUGGGGAAUUUUGGACAAUGGGCGAAAGCCUGAUCCAGCAAUGCCGCGUGAGUGAAGAAGGCCUUCGGGUUGUAAAGCUCUUUUGUCAGGGAAGAAACGGUGAGAGCUAAUAUCUCUUGCUGAUGACGGUACCUGAAGAAUAAGCACCGGCUAACUACGUGCCAGCAGCCGCGGUAAUACGUAGGGUGCAAGCGUUAAUCGGAAUUACUGGGCGUAAAGCGUGCGCAGGCGGUUUUGUAAGUCUGAUGUGAAAUCCCCGGGCUCAACCUGGGAAUUGCAUUGGAGACUGCAAGGCUAGAAUCUGGCAGAGGGGGGUAGAAGUCCACGUGUAGCAGUGAAAUGCGUAGAUAUGUGGAGGAACACCGAUGGCGAAGGCAGCCCCCUGGGUCAAGAUUGACGCUCAUGCACGAAAGCGUGGGGAGCAAACAGGAUUAGAUACCCUGGUAGUCCCA
rnacentral:rRNA from 1 species